AUGUCGCGAUGGCGUCGCGGCCGCCCGUCGCUGCUCCUGCUCCGUCGAGCCUUCCUCCUGGCAGCCGUCUCCGCCGCCGCCCUCUUCCUUCUACUCAGCCACCAGGGCCCUGACCCCCGCAAACCAUCCUCUUCGUCUCCGGACCUCUCCGUUGACCCGCCUCCCCACUUCGUCUUCUCGGAUGAGCUCUCCGUGGACCCGCCUCCCGGCUCGGCCUCGCCGGAAGAGCUCUCCGUUGAGCCGCCUCCCGCCUCGGCCUCCUCGGACGAGCUCCGUGUCGUGCCGCCUGAGGCGGCGGCUGGUUCGGAGGGAGGUGGCGACGGGUCAACGUGCGCGACGGUGGAGGAGAUGGGGGAGGAGGCCGUCGGCGGGGGGUCGACGGAGGCGGCCAGCCUCCGCGUCCGCGAGCUGAUUCGGCGCCACUUCCUGCUCCAUGGCGCUGCGAGAGUUAGGUCGCUGCCUGCAGCUGAGUUCUGCAAACAAGGCUUUGUGUUGGGGAAAGCAUCUGAAGCUGGGUUUGGCAAUGAGAUGUACAAGAUAUUAACGGCAGCAGCUCUGAGUGUUAUGUUAAACCGCUCCCUGAUCAUCGGCCAAACCAGGGGAUUGUAUCCGUUUGGACAGUACAUUUCUUAUACUGACCACUCGUUUACUAUUGGAGAAAUCAAGCAUUUAUGGAGGAAAAACCGAUGUGCCCAAACAUAUGGUAGAGAUCUGAAUGUGAGGGUAGACGAUUUUGAGAAUCCCUCGGAGACAAAUGUUCUUUGUAGUGACUGGAGUAGAUGGAAAGAUCCAAUAAUCUGGUUUGAUGGCACAACAGAUGCAGUUGGAAUCCAGUUCUUUCUAAAGAAUGUUCACCCUGAAAUGAAAACUGCUGCUUCAACAAUUCUUGGAUCCCUAGGCAUGCUACAUGCCAGGCCUAAUACAUUCGGGGAACUUAUGCGCGUGAUCAUAUCUCCCUCCCAGGUAGUCCAGAAAGCAGUUCAGUGGGCAUCGAAGGGUUUCAGUCCAGAUAUGGUUCUGCACAUGCGAAUGAUGGCCAAUAGGCCAGUACGAGCAAGAACUGCUGCAGUUAGUUGUAUUCAGAAAGCUAUACAGAUUUCUGGUUUGAAGGGUACACCUCGGGUGGCAUUGAUCUCCGACACACCAUCAUUUGUUAAGGAGAUGAAGCAAGAGAUCAGUGAGUUUGCAGAGGUAACUUAUUUUGAUUACAAAUCGUUUGCCAAGAGUUUUGACCUAGAGAUGAAUGGAACGGACAAGCCUUUGGAAUUCCGUUCACGAGACUGGGGAUCAGCUCCAAGGUGGGCGGCCUUCGUCGAUUUCUUCCUGGCCUCGAGCGCCAGGCACACGGUCAUCACCGGAGCGCAUCGACGCGUGGGAACGACCUACGCGCAGCUCAUCGCAGCGCUGGCCGCAGCCAACAGACACGGCCACGAGCCCUCGGGCGCCAACUUCACGUUCCUAAGCAGCAUCCACAGCAACCUGCUGGUGGACGGGCUGUCGACGCAGGCCGGCUGGGGCCACGCCUGGAGCAGGUACGCAGGGCCCCUGAGCUGCCCGCGCCAGGCGCACCAGUGCGCGCUGACCCCGCUCCUCCCGCACGCGUGGUGGGACGGCCGGUGGCGGAGCCCCACCGCCAGGGACGUGAGGCGGCUGCUGGGCUACGGCGUCUCGUUGUCGGACACGGGGGAGGUGGACGAGGAGGGGCUCGCGUCGCACUGUCGGUCGAGGGAAGAUCAUGUCAAGAGGUUCCAUCUUCUCCCGCCGUACAAGAGUUGA
rnacentral:rRNA from 1 species